rnacentral:rRNA from 1 species
CAAUAGCGUAUAUUAAAGUUGUUGCAGUUAAAAAGCUCGUAGUUGGAUUUCUGAUCGAGACAUCAGGUCGGGUCCGAGAGGAUCAUGUACUUUGAUUUUGUUUUGAUCAUCCUUGGGGAGAGCAUUUCUGGCAUUCAGUUGUCGGGAUUGGGAUCCUCAUCGUUUACUGUGAAAAAAUUAGAGUGUUCAAAGCAGGCCUCGGCCUCUGAAUACAUUAGCAUGGAAUAAUAAGAUAGGACUUUGGUGGUCUAUUUUGUUGGUUUGCACGCCAAAGUAAUGAUUAAUAGGGAUAGUUGGGGGUAUUCGUAUUCAAUUGUCAGAGGUGAAAUUCUUGGAUUUAUGGAAGACGAACUGCUGCGAAAGCAUUUACCAAGGAUGUUUUCAUUAA